rnacentral:ncRNA from 1 species
ACGACCCCUCUUUCCCGAGACAAGACCUUGGACAUAAAAAAAAUAAAUCCGCAAAAGUCCCUUUUAGACUCCGGGGGGAGUUGGGCCCGAGAAUCGAACCCAGAGCUAGCUGGUUCUCCCCGAAAUGCAUUGAGCGCAGCAGUUGAUUGGACAUCUAGGGUAAAGUACUAUUUCGAUGCGGGCUGCGCGAGCGGUAUCAAAUCGAGGCAAACUCUGAAUACUAGAUAUGAUCCAAAAAUAACAAGGAUUAAGGUCGUCCAGUGAGACGAUGGGGAAUAAGCUUCAUCGUCGAGAGGGAAACAGCCCGGAUCACCAGCUAAGGCCCCUAGAUGACCAGUGCAUAGAUAGCCAGUAGGUUUGCCUAGAAGCAACCACCCUUUGAAGAGUGCGUAAUAGCUCACUGAUCGAGCGUCCUUGCACUGAAGAUGAACAAGGCUAAGCGAUCUGCCGAAGCUAUGGGAUGUCAAAAUGCAUUGGUAAGGGAGAGUUCUGCCUUAGAGGGAAGCAAACGCGAAAGCGGGGGUUGACGAAGCGGAAGCGAGGAUGU